rnacentral:rRNA from 1 species
UACGUAGGGUGCAAGCGUUGUCCGGAAUUAUUGGGCGUAAAGAGCUCGUAGGCGGUCUGUCGCUUCUGCUGUGAAAACUCAGGGCUUAACCCUGAGCUUGCAGUGGGUACGGGCAGACUAGAGUGCGGUAGGGGAGACUGGAACUCCUGGUGUAGCGGUGAAAUGCGCAGAUAUCAGGAGGAACACCGGUGGCGAAGGCGGGUCUCUGGGCCGUAACUGACGCUGAGGAGCGAAAGCAUGGGGAGCGAACAGG